rnacentral:rRNA from 1 species
GACGAACGCUGGCGGCGCGCUUCACACAUGCAAGUCGAGCGAUCGACUCCGGGUCUUCGGACCUGGAGCACGGAGCGGCGAACGGGUGAGUAACACGUGGGUAACCUGCCCUCGGCACUGGGAUAACUCCGGGAAACCGGUGCUAAUACCGGAUAGCCUCCGAAGCCUGCGGGCGUCGGAGAAAAGGUAGCUUCGGCCUCUGGCCGAGGAGGGGCCCGCGGCCGAUUAGCUUGUUGGUGAGGUAAAGGCUCACCAAGGCGACGAUCGGUAGCUGGGGUGAGAGAAUGACCAGCCACACUGGGACUGAGACACGGCCCAGACUCCUACGGGAGGCAGCAGUGGGGAAUCUUGCGCAAUGGGCGAAAGCCUGACGCAGCGACGCCGCGUGGGGGAAGAAGGCCUUCGGGUUGUAAACCCCUUUCAGGAGGGACGAAGCCACUCGGGUUAAUAGCCCAGAGGGUGACGGUACCUCCAGAAGAAGCUCCGGCUAACUACGUGCCAGCCGCCGCCGUAACAC